AUGUAUAUGAGUAUACAUGUUUGUGUACAUGAGCUUGGAAGUAGGUAUUUUCCUCUAUUACACUCUACCCAAUUUAUUUAUCAUUUGCUUUUGAGACAGGGCAUCUUGCUGAACCUGGAAUUCACUGAUUUUAUAAGACUAGCUGGACAGAGAGCCCCAGGAAUUCUCCUGUCUCUCCACACAUACACCUUUACCCCCAACCUGCUAUGAGGUUACAAGUGUGAGCCAGCAUUCCUGGCUUUGAGGUCACAGCUUUACUAUCCAACAUUUUCUCUUGAGCUUUGCAAACUUUAUCUCCAAGGCAGACUCUAUUGUGUCCCACCUGACUGGCAAGAAAGACGCAACAAACCGGAAUCUUCCGCGGCAAAAGCUUUAUUGCUUACUUCUUCAGGAAGACCCCGAACCGGAAAAUGGCGCCGCUUUUAUAACCCACAGUGUGACGUUUUAGCACCUGAUAUGGCGUGACAGCUCCUGAUUCGUUGCUCGCACAUCACCCCAUUAUUACACCCCGAGAAUGGGAGUGACUAGGAGUGAGUUCACUCUCGCACCUGCAUACAAGGCUUGUUUACUAGUUAGGCACAGCGGAGGCCAGCACCAUCUUAUAAUGGCGACUGUUCG
rnacentral:lncRNA from 1 species